AGCAGCCGCGGUAAUUCCAGCUCCAAUAGCGUAUAUUAAAGUUGUUGCAGUUAAAAAGCUCGUAGUUGAAUUUCGGGAUCAGACUGUCGGUCGUGCCUCGGUACGCACUGGCAUUAUUGGUUCCUACCUUCUGAAGAACCGCGAUGUCAUUAAUUUGGUGUCGUGGGGAAUCAGGACUGUUACUUUGAAAAAUUAGAGUGUUUAAAGCAGGCGCACGCUUGAAUACAUUAGCAUGGAAUAAUGAAAUAGGACGUUUGAUUCUAUUUUGUUGGUUUCUAGGAUCGACGUAAUGAUUAAUAGGGAUAGUUGGGGGCAUUAGUAUUC
rnacentral:rRNA from 1 species